rnacentral:misc_RNA from 1 species
GAUGAAGAACGUAGUGAAAUGCGAUAAGUAGUGUGAAUUGCAGAAUUCAGUGAAUCAUCGAAUCUUUGAACGCACAUUGCGCCCCUUGGUAUUCCAUGGGGCAUGCCUGUUCGAGCGUCAUUUGUACCUUCAAGCUCUGCUUGGUGUUGGGUGUUUGUCUCGCCUCUGCGUGUAGACUCGCCUUAAAACAAUUGGCAGCCGGCGUAUUGAUUUCGGAGCGCAGUACAUCUCGCGCUUUGCACUCAUAACGACGACGUCCAAAAGUACAUUUUUACACUCUUGACCUCGGAUCAGGUAGGGAUACCCGCUGAACUUAAGCAUAUCAAUAAGCGGAGA